ensembl:snRNA U1 U1 spliceosomal RNA
AUUUUAGCUUGGCAGGGGAUAGCCCAUGAUCCUCUCAGCCAAUUCAGUAUAGUUAUAAGGUGAGGCCUACCCCUUGCACUUUGAGCAGGCUGACCCCAGCAAGCUUCCCCAAAUGAGGGAAACUUGACUCCACAGUUUUGUGGUAAUGGGGGGACUGUGUUCCCACUUUCCUUGU